rnacentral:rRNA from 1 species
AGAGUUUGAUUCUGGCUCAGGACGAACGCUGGCGGCGUGCUUAACACAUGCAAGUCGAACGAUGAAGCCUAGCUUGCUAGGUGGAUUAGUGGCGAACGGGUGAGUAAUACGUGAGUAACCUACCUUUAACUCUGGGAUAAGCCUGGGAAACUGGGUCUAAUACCGGAUACGACCAAUCUCCGCAUGGGGUGUUGGUGGAAAGCGUUAUGUAGUGGUUAUAGAUGGGCUCACGGCCUAUCAGCUUGUUGGUGAGGUAACGGCUCACCAAGGCGACGACGGGUAGCCGGCCUGAGAGGGUGACCGGCCACACUGGGACUGAGACACGGCCCAGACUCCUACGGGAGGCAGCAGUGGGGAAUAUUGCACAAUGGGCGCAAGCCUGAUGCAGCGACGCCGCGUGAGGGAUGACGGCCUUCGGGUUGUAAACCUCUGUUAGCAGGGAAGAAGAGAGAUUGACGGUACCUGCAGAGAAAGCGCCGGCUAACUACGUGCCAGCAGCCGCGGUAAUACGUAGGGCGCGAGCGUUGUCCGGAAUUAUUGGGCGUAAAGAGCUUGUAGGCGGUUUGUCGCGUCUGCUGUGAAAGGCCGGAGCUUAACUCCGUGUAUUGCAGUGGGUACGGGCAGACUAGAGUGCAGUAGGGGAGACUGGAAUUCCUGGUGUAGCGGUGGAAUGCGCAGAUAUCAGGAGGAACACCGAUGGCGAAGGCAGGUCUCUGGGCUGUAACUGACGCUGAGAAGCGAAAGCAUGGGGAGCGAACAGGAUUAGAUACCCUGGUAGUCCAUGCCGUAAACGUUGGGCACUAGGUGUGGGGGACAUUCCACGUUUUCCGCGCCGUAGCUAACGCAUUAAGUGCCCCGCCUGGGGAGUACGGCCGCAAGGCUAAAACUCAAAGAAAUUGACGGGGGCCCGCACAAGCGGCGGAGCAUGCGGAUUAAUUCGAUGCAACGCGAAGAACCUUACCAAGGCUUGACAUAUACUGGACCGCAUCAGAGAUGGUGUUUCCCUUCGGGGCUGGUAUACAGGUGGUGCAUGGUUGUCGUCAGCUCGUGUCGUGAGAUGUUGGGUUAAGUCCCGCAACGAGCGCAACCCU